UACGGAGGAUGCGAGCGUUAUCCGGAUUUAUUGGGUUUAAAGGGUGCGUAGGUUGUUUUUUAAGUCAGCGGUGAAAGUUUGUGGCUCAACCAUAAAAUUGCCGUUGAAACUGGAAGACUUGAGUGUGUUUGAGGUAGGCGGAAUGCGUGGUGUAGCGGUGAAAUGCAUAGAUAUCACGCAGAACUCCGAUUGCGAAGGCGACCUGCUAGAACAUAACUGACGCUGAUGCGCGAAAGCGUGGGGAGCAAACAGG
rnacentral:rRNA from 1 species